rnacentral:rRNA from 1 species
CCAGACUCCUACGGGAGGCAGCAGUGAGGAAUAUUGGUCAAUGGUCGGGAGACUGAACCAGCCAAGCCGCGUGAGGGAUGAAGGUACAGAGUAUCGUAAACCUCUUUUGUCAGGGAACAAAGGCGGGGACGUGUCCCCGGAUGAGUGUACCUGAAGAAAAAGCAUCGGCUAACUCCGUGCCAGCAGCCGCGGUAAUACGGAGGAUGCGAGCGUUAUCCGGAUUUAUUGGGUUUAAAGGGUGCGUAGGCGGAAGGUUAAGUCAGCGGUCAAAUGUCGGUGCUCAACACCGGCCUGCCGUUGAAACUGGUUUUCUUGAGUGAGCGAGAAGUAUGCGGAAUGCGUGGUGUAGCGGUGAAAUGCAUAGAUAUCACGCAGAACUCCGAUUGCGAGGGCAGCGCACCGGCGCCCUACUGACGCUCAGGCACGAAAGCGUGGGUAUCGAACAGGAUUAGAUACCCUAGUAUG